CAACCAGCCGAUCCCAGCACGGCUACGAGCUGAGCCGGCUCGGCUCUGACCCAGCAUGGUUGCUCUUAAUCAAGGCAUCCUAAAAUUUCUCCUCUUUCUAAUUCCUCUCUUUCCCCUUCUGACGAGUGACAACCGGCGGCGCAGCAUGGUUGCUCGGCGAUCUCUACUACCCCUUCUCAACCCUCCUGCCUUCAUCAUGGUUUCCAUGGGCGGGUGCCACGACGGCCCAUCGACGGCUCCGGACAGUCUGCGGCGACGCAGCGGAGGCCAUUUUCCUGUCCCGACGGUAGCAUACUAGCAUCCCCCAAAUCGGCGACCUCAUCUGGAGCGGCCCUGCGACUGGCCGGCGAUGCAUCAUUUCCUGGCAGCAGAGACACCCCAAACUGGUCUGCGCACGGGAGAUCAGUUGUCAAGCUGCUCUGGUAAGGGCUCUUCGCAAAAUCACAAAUUGUUCAUCCGCCCAUCCGGUUGUCCCCCUGCAGGUAAAGCGUUCGACGAUAUGCGCCUGUGGCAGCAGCAGCGGCACUUUUGUUCUCUUCAUGCCCAAAUUUUGAUGCUUUUUUUUAUCUAUUUUACUCUUUUUGUUAGAUUUGGAGAUAGCUGGUGCUCUAUCGUGAUGACAGGGCCGUUCUAGUCUUGUAGAUGGCCGUCACUGAGCAAGGUGGAGGCCGUGAGAGGUCCGGUGUGCUCCACAUAUGUGUUUUGGUUCUUUUCCGUUGCUCUCGGGUACGCAGCUUUGUUUUGAUUCUACCAAUUUCAGGUGAUAAGGACAUCUGGGCAAAUAGUAGGCCAGGUCUGCUCAGAUUCAUUUGGGAACAGCAAAUAGGCGUCUGCAUUGACUUCAAUUUGAUGACCAGCUUCCAGUAAUCUGGAGAUUCUGAUGCCACAGCACAAUUGGCAUCAGGUCCAGAAGACUAGUAGAAGAAAUGCUCCAGACAUGAUGAGGCUGCACCGGUGAUGCUGUUUGCACGGCCAUCUGAGAAGCCCAACUAAAAUGAGAAAGAUGACUAAACACAUGCAGCGAAACAUGCCUCAGUUUACGUCAUCCGAUUUGUUCUUAACACAUCAAUGAAGUACAAUGGCUUUGGUGGUCUUUCAUCCUGAUGUUUGGUGUCAACAUAAAUACAAAGACCCAGCUACUAUCUUAUUUGUAGUUGUUUUGUUUUGUUUGGUUUCGACAGCGUGUUCUAUGAGAAAAAAAAACUCAGAUUAGGAUGCCAUGCUAAACCUCAUUUUGUGAAUUUGUUAUGUCCUACUCUCUUUUUUCUUCCAUUGUGAUAACCCACUGUACAAAGAUCUGGUACAUGUCUGAAGGCAUUGCCGUAAUUGUGGUAAUAUUGGAUUAGGAACCCUUUUUUGUUAACCUCA